GCAACUUCCAGCAGGAAAUGUCAUCCCAGCGCUUGACACUGGAACUUGACUACAAAUAAGUAUGCUGUUUCGAUGAAAUUGUGUAAUAGAAACUGGAUUCCAGUGCUUGACACCAGGUUUGUGUUUAUA
rnacentral:ncRNA from 1 species